CUUAACCCACUGAGCCAUCCAGGCGCCCCAGUGGGUGAUAUUUUAAAUAGGCUGAUCAGAAAACUCUCUGAGAAGCUGGCAUUUUAACGAAUCUGAAUUCAGGAGAAAGAGUAGGUACUCCAGAUACGACUCUCUGGAGGGACGAUGGUCCAGGCAGAAGGAAGAGUUUGCAAAGGCUCUGACAGGGAAAUUUUCUUGGUGAGUUAUUACAGGAUCAACGAGGAGCAUGUAGAUUUACACUGCAGAGUGGAAUCCGUUCUAUCAGGCUUUCUUUCAAGCCUGCCACUCCAGUGAAAGCAAUCUUCUCAAGGUUAUCCACAUUGCCAACUCCACUGGUCACUUCUCGUCCUUCUACUGGACUUUCCUGCAGGAUUUGGUAAGAGGCUACUACCGUAAUCCAGGUCUGGGAAAGGAGGAGGAACCAGGAAAGGAGAAUGAAGAAGCAGCUUGUAAGUAAGAAAAACACAAACUCCUUGAAGACCUUGCUCAGUGCCUGGCACAUAGCAGGCUGGAGAAACCAGGAUUGUGGAGAACAGUGAUUUGGAGAUCCUGGGACCAAUUUAAGACAAGCUCACAUUUUGCUGAUGCCUCAGCUCCGGAGCAAUGAGCAAGGCAAAGGCUACACUUGGGUGCCAGGAAUUCCAGUCCCCAAAACGGAGAGAAAGAGCGGAGGGUAGACGAGUUGCCCUUCAAUAGAAAGAACCAGACACUGGUAGAAAGAAAACACGUCUGCUGCUAGCAGGAUCUCAAACCCAGUGGAGAAAUGAAAAGAGAAGUACCCCAGAGGAUCCUAAAACAAAAGAUACAUCUGCCCAACUGUGGCUUAAAAUCACCAGCGGGAGGAAGAGCAAGGAAUGCUCCCGAUGUAAAUCCACAGCAAAA